rnacentral:rRNA from 1 species
AGAUGGAUUAGUGGCGCACGGGUGAGUAAUGCAUAGGUAACAUGCCCUUUAGUCUAGGAUAGCCACUGGAAACGGUGAUUAAUACUGGAUACUCCCUACGGGGGAAAGAAUUUCGCUAAAGGAUUGGUCUAUGUCCUAUCAGCUUGUUGGUGAGGUAAUAGCUCACCAAGGCUAUGACGGGUAUCCGGCCUGAGAGGGUGAACGGACACACUGGAACUGAGAUACGGUCUAGACUCCUACGGGAGGCAGCAGUAGGGAAUAUUGCUCAAUGGGGGAAACCCUGAAGCAGCAACGCCGCGUGGAGGAUGAAGGUUUUAGGAUUGUAAACUCCUUUUCUAAGAGAAGAUU